rnacentral:lncRNA from 1 species
AAUAAAGCACCAUAACAGUCGUUUCAUGAAGUUCUCUUAUAAAGGCUCACACUUUAUAAGAAAAGUACUAUUGCAACGCUUCUUGGGGGAUUCUCCAAGUAUUCUUUGAGGCCUUCAUGAUCUCCAUUUUCAGUGCACCAAGUCCCCUCCAAGGAGAGACCCUGGGUAAUGAUGAUCUUUGGUGUCAACUAAGAUUCUUAAGAACUGGAUCCUCGUGAUUCCUAUGUGACCUGAAAUGUGGCCAGUCCACCACCAAAGCAAGGAAAGAGAUAUGAGAAGGAAGUUUCGUCUCCUACCUAGUGCAUCAUUACUGGCAACAGUGAGAAGCAGAGCUGGGAAUUUGAGAAGCAAACCAAUGCCUUCUGCUUCUCGUCAUUAUUCCUGACAACAGACAGAAAAGAGGCAAACCUUCACCUUCUGUGGUCGCUUCUGAUACUCAACCGGGAACCUCAUUCUCAGUAGCUACAGAUUUCCCUAAUCACUCAUCUUAACUUGACACUGCGUUCUAGUGCCUUUCGUGAGAAGGGUCUUGGGAGGCCAUAAACCUAUGUUGCUGGGAAAAGAAUGUACUGCAAUAAAGAGAGCAGGAGAGGAGCUGCAGAUUUCCAGCUCUCACAGCUUGUUCACUUGUGGAGACUAGGCUGCAAUGUGCUCUUGAGAUCAUUGGGGUGGGCCUUGUUUCUAAGGAAAUAAAGAGGCCCCAUAACCUCCCAAGUGAGCGAAAAAAUGAUUUCGAUGGAUGAAAUUCACCAAAGUCUCUACCACAGACAUUCUCAGAUGGUCCUAAUAAAAAGAAGAAACCCAAACCAGAACUGGUGGUCCAUAUUGUGAGAGUUGCUGAAUAUCAUCACAAAGCAAUAAUUAUCCAACAGCAUGCUU